AGCCCCAGUGGAAAGGGCACGGGCCUCCAAAACCCGCCGCUGAAGGUUCGACUCCUUCC
rnacentral:tRNA from 1 species